UCCUACUUUGGCUUCAAGACUGAAAAGGAC
rnacentral:piRNA from 1 species